GCCCGAUUAGCUCAGCUGGUUAGAGCGUCGUACUAAUACAAUACCAAUACGGUAUUCUAUAUAGUCAUGCGAAGGUCAACAGUUCAAUCCUGUUAUUGGGCA